rnacentral:rRNA from 1 species
UGCGGAGGGUGCAAGCGUUACUCGGAAUUAUUGGGCGUAAAGAGCGCGUAGGCGGUUUCUUAAGUCAGAUGUGAAAGCCCAGGGCUUAACCCUGGAAGUGCCUUUGAAACUAAGGGACUUGAGUAUGGGAGAGGGAAGUGGAAUUCCUGGUGUAGCGGUGAAAUGCGUAGAUAUCAGGAGGAACACCGGUGGCGAAGGCGACUUCCUGGACCAAUACUGACGCUGAGGCGCGAAGGCGUGGGGAGCAAACGGG